GUGAGGAAUAUUGGUCAAUGGGCGGGAGCCUGAACCAGCCAAGUCGCGUGAAGGAAGAAGGAUCUAUGGUUCGUAAACUUCUUUUGCAGGGGAAUAAAGUGCGGGACGUGUCCUGUUUUGUAUGUACCCUGAGAAUAAGGAUCGGCUAACUCCGUGCCAGCAGCCGCGGUAAUACGGAGGCUCCGAGCGUUAUCCGGAUUUAUUGGGUUUAAAGGGUGCGGAGGUGGUUUGAUAAGUCAGAGGUGAAAGUGUGCAGCUUAACUGUAAAAAUGCCGUUGAAACUGUCGGACUUGAGUGUAAAUGAGGUAGGCGGAAUGCGUGGUGUAGCGGUGAAAUGCAUAGAUAUCACGAAGAACUCCGAUUGCGAAGGCAGCUUACUAAGCUACAACUGACACUGAAGCACGAAAGCGUGGGGAUCAAACAGGAUUAGAAACCCUGGUAGUCC
rnacentral:rRNA from 1 species